UCCCUGGUGGUCUAGUGGUUAGGACUGUGGGCUUUCACUUCGAAGGGCCUAGGUUCAAUCCCUGGUCAGAGAA
rfam:Ovis aries breed Texel chromosome 3, whole genome shotgun sequence.